rnacentral:rRNA from 1 species
UACAGAGGUGGCAAGCGUUGUUCGGAAUUACUGGGCGUAAAGGGCGCGUAGGCGGCCUUCUAAGUCAGAUGUGAAAUCCCCCGGCUUAACCUGGGAACUGCGUCUGAUACUGGGAGGCUUGAGUAUGGGAGAGGGAUGUAGAAUUCCAGGUGUAGCGGUGAAAUGCGUAGAUAUCUGGAGGAAUACCGGUGGCGAAGGCGGCAUCCUGGACCAUAACUGACGCUGAGGCGCGAAAGCUAGGGGAGCAAACGGG